rnacentral:lncRNA from 1 species
CAUUCUCUAGCUGGACUGCAACAUUAUUAACUCAACUGGAAACCACUUGGCAGAAAAUCACACAGAAGAAGUUUUUGCAGAGGAAGGAGAAGGAAGAGAUAGGUGAAGAAUGGCAAUAUGAUAUGAAUUUGUACUUACAGCCCAACCCUGCUGAACAGGGCAAUUUUGUUAUUAAGCCCAGCCAGAGCCUUUGCAUGGAUGCACAGCCCUUGGAACUGUAUUCCAGCCUAAAAAUAGGAGUGCAUGGAGAUUUGGACAAGCAAAAUAAUUCUGCACUCACCUUCCAAAGCAAGGCACUGUUUACAUUCACAGGCUGCCCCUAAACAUCUGGCUGAAACGACUGAGACUGUUCAUCCAGUUUCUAACCUUAAAUAUAAACAUACUACUCUAUCACUACUUGCUUUUGUGCAGAUGUUUUAUCCUGAUUUUUAUUUCAGAAAAGACAUAAUUAUAUUGCAGAUAUAUUAUAUUAUAUAUAUUAUAUUGCAGAUUCAGUGCCACGAGAUGUUGGAAUUAUAAAGGGAUAAAUGAGAAAAUGUGGAAAUGAAAAUAUAUUACCUCAAAACCCAAUUAGGAAUUCCAUCAAAGGCUAUUAAAAUUCAUAUAUAACUUUCUGCACUUCGGAUUGAGAGUGUAAAGUAGAAAAAAAUAUAACUCUGCACUUUUUAGUCUCUAUAUUAUUGCCAAAUAAGCAUAAGCAUCCAAUACUGACUACUAGCAAAGAAAAGGCACUGGAACAGAGAUACCUCCUGGGCUGUCCAUAAACAAUGCUUUCCAUGUAAAUAUAAAUCCAGCUAAAACUCUUGUACUAGUCACAGAUUCUUUCCCACUUUAUUGUUUUACACUUUAUCUAAAUUGCCAAAAGAAACCUUUUCACUCUAAAUAUUGAAUUAGGCUGAAGAUCUUCAGUCCUGCUAAAUUUUGUGGCAUCUUAUUUUAUAAAAUGGCAUUUUAUGACAUUUUAUUAUAUAAAAAAUUAAGGAUAGAAGUGAUAAAACACUUCUUUUGCUUUGUUUUGCUUUCUUUCAAGGAAUUCUUGAAAAGGGUUCUUGAUAUUAAAUAAGAGCAGUCAAAAACCUGUCCAUGAUGAAACCAUUCAUAAAUGAGGCCAUAAAUAGCAAUCUUUUCAUGAGCCUUGUCCACAUGAAAGAAGUUUCCCUUUGGACUAAUUAACUUUUUCAAUAACUGUACAGAAGACAGAAGGUGGCUUGACAGCACCUGACAUGACAGUAACAAUAAGACAAAUGUUGCUUCUGAAGCAUGCACUCUAAAGGCAUUGCCAUGGGAACAUUUAUCCUUUUACCCCUUUUUGUGCUGAGGUUCAUUGCUUCAAACAUGCCCAGACCCACGAGGCUGUUGGCCUGAAUAUUUUAAUAGCUGAUGAGGGAGGGACUGAGGGAGGAGGAGAGACAAGAUGCUUGGGUAGCCUGGAGCAAUAUCUUUAUGAAUAUCCCCUUAUGUGGACUGUGUCUCCUCCUGACCGAAUCAGGAUUUCAGUGCUACCCCUAAACUAUGACAA